AGGACUCAAAAACAUAUAUUUUAAAUUAUUUAUUUAUGAGAAGAUAAAUAUAUUAAUAUUAAAUUAAAUGACCUGUUUCCUUAGGCAGAUGGUCGCAUACGGGAUAGAUAUCCAAAGCCGUUCAACAAUUAUCCUCAAGUGUAAGGCCAUGUGAUUUAUUAAGAGGACAACUAAUUUUGGCGAUGCAUAUGAUACAAAGGCAGAUGUACGUGUACAAGAUGGAUAUUCAAAGCCGUUCAACAAGUAUAUGGCAAUGUGAAUGACUAAGAGGACGACUAAUUUUGGCGACGCAUUUACUUCAAAGUGUGAAACCUAUAGAACCAUUUUUCUUUUCUUAAUUGGGGUAGAGCUAAAUCUAGCAAAAAUAAUUACCUCUUCCCGAUAUUGUUUCCCUAAUCAAAGUUAAGUUAAUUUAAAAUAUGGGCAGCCUGCGAUGUUUGAUCUACCAGGAAGGGAAAUGUUCCUUCACCUACGCAAUAUAAAGAUUUCCUAGUUAUUCUUAUACUAUAUAACUGAUUUUUUAUUAAUACAUUUAUAGUAACACAUGAUUU
rnacentral:sRNA from 1 species